UACGAAGGGGGCUAGCGUUGCUCGGAAUCACUGGGCGUAAAGGGUGCGUAGGCGGGUCUUUAAGUCAGGGGUGAAAUCCUGGAGCUCAACUCCAGAACUGCCUUUGAUACUGGCGAUCUCGAGUCCGGGAGAGGUGAGUGGAACUGCGAGUGUAGAGGUGAAAUUCGUAGAUAUUCGCAAGAACACCAGUGGCGAAGGCGGCUCACUGGCCCGGUACUGACGCUGAGGAGCGAAAGCGUGGGGAGCAAACAGG
rnacentral:rRNA from 1 species